UUUAAAACUAAACAAGUCAAUAACUUUAAUAGUUAAAACUAUCGAGUUGAAACCCAAACCCUAGAAUCACCUUGCUGAUGUCAAUCAAAACAAAACAAGCAUGCAAAGGGAUAGAAUUUUUUUACUUUUAUCAAAAAGAUAAUGUGGCACAUUGGUGAUCUCCAUGAGACUCCAAAGUAGAAGCCCUCCAACAGUGAUCCAUACAGAAGUUGGCUAAGGUCUUUCCUAACCGGUGCGCUACUGCAGCCUUGUCUUUUUAAGAACACUACC
rnacentral:lncRNA from 1 species